AAUGAACGCUGGCGGCAUGGAUUAGGCAUGCAAGUCGAACGGAGACCCCCGCUUCGGUGGGGCGAUCAGUGGCGAAAGGGUGAGUAACACGUGAGCAACCUGCCCCCGAGUUCGGAAUAGCCCCGGGAAACCGGGAUUAAUACCGAAUGUGGUGCAACCGUCUCCUGUCGGUUGUUCCAAAGGUCCGCCGCUCGGGGAUGGGCUCGCGUCCCAUUAGCUAGUUGGUGAGGUAACGGCCCACCAAGGCUAUGACGGGUAGCUGGUCUGAGAGGAUGGUCAGCCACACUGGGACUGAGAUACUGCCCAGACUCCUACGGGAGGCUGCAGUCGAGAAUCUUCCGCAAUGGGCGCAAGCCUGACGGAGCGAUGCCGCGUGAGGGAUGAAGGCCUUCGGGUUGUAAACCUCUGUCAGGAGGGACGAAGAAUGUGACGGUACCUCCAGAGGAAGCACCGGCUAACUACGUGCCAGCAGCCGCGGUAAUACGUAGGGUGCGAGCGUUAUUCGGAUUAACUGGGCGUAAAGGGUCCGCAGGGGGUUUGCCGAGUCUGAUGUGAAAUGCCGAGGCUCAACCUUGGAACUGCAUUGGAUACUGGUGAACUUUGAGUGCACGAGGGGUGAGCGGAAUUCCUGGUGUAGCGGUGGAAUGCGUAGAUAUCAGGAAGAACACCGAUGGCGAAGGCGGCUCACUGGCGUGCUACUGACCCUCAUGGACGAAAGCGUGGGUAGCAAACA
rnacentral:rRNA from 1 species